rnacentral:rRNA from 1 species
UACAGAGGGUGCGAGCGUUGUCCGGAAUCACUGGGCGUAAAGGGCGCGUAGGUGGCGCCGCAAGUCCAUGGUGAAAGCUCGAUGCUCAACAUCGAGUCGGCCACGGAGACUGCGGGGCUCGAGCACUGUAGGGGCAGAUGGAAUUCCGGGUGUAGCGGUGGAAUGCGUAGAGAUCCGGAGGAACACCGAUGGCGAAGGCAGUUCUCUGGGCCGUAACUGACGCUGAGGAGCGAAAGCGUGGGGAGCGAACAGG